UACAUGGGCGGCGACCGGCAAACGGGUGCGGAACACGUACGCAAUCUACCCAAAACUGAUGAAUAGCCCUCCGAAAGGAGGAUUAAUACAUCGUAACCUGGUGAAGUGGCAUCACUUUAUUAGUAUAGCUCCGGCGGUUUUGGAUGAGCGUGCGGCUGAUUAGGUAGUUGGUUGGGGUAAUGGCCCACCAAGCCUGCGAUCAGUAACUGGUGUGAGAGCACGACCAGUCACACGGGCACUGAGACACGGGCCCGACUCCUACGGGAGGCAGCAGUAAGGAAUAUUGGUCAAUGGACGCAAGUCUGAACCAGCCAUGCCGCGUGGAGGAUGAAGGCCCUCUGGGUUGUAAACUUCUUUUAUCUGGGACGAAACCCAUCCAUUCUUGGGUGAUUGACGGUACCAGAGGAAUAAGCACCGGCUAACUCCGUGCCAGCAGCCGCGGUAAUACGGAGGGUGCAAGCGUUAUCCGGAUUCACUGGGUUUAAAGGGUGCGUAGGCGGGCAGGUAAGUCAGUGGUGAAAUCUCCAAGCUUAACUUGGAAACUGCCGUUGAUACUAUCUGUCUUGAAUUCUGUGGAGGUGAGCGGAAUAUGUCAUGUAGCGGGUGAAAUGCUUAAAUAUGACAUAGAACACCAAUUGCGAAGGCAGCUCACUACGCAGCGAUU
rnacentral:rRNA from 1 species